GGGACACUGGUAUGGUAUCUCAUAUGAGGGAUCCUGGUCGAUUCUGAACCUAAUUGAACCUAAGUUUCUUGAAAAGUGAGGCGAUAGCCAAAAUAGUCGGCUGAGUCUUGGACAUAGAUCGCUAUGCUAUAGAAUGCCUGCCUAGGUCAUCCCUUAGAGCUUGCUGGAUGAGAGAUUAGACUGAGUUCUCUCAACUCCAUGCUCUCACUCUGGCCACUCACUUACGGAUAAAGCCCCUAUGCUUGCGACUCUCCCACUUUGGCAUGUCUGACUUUGAGCUUCUUUCCAGGGAUUGUAUUCCCGUAGUGCCUGAUUGGGACCUCUUUCUUACUCUCUCGUACGCAACCCCAUCCGUUUAGGGGUUCGCCCUCUCUUCGGGUACCUCGCCCACUCGGGACCUUCCACUCUGAAGUUUACCCGAUCAGGCAAACAACUGUGACUUUCAUCUCCGCUUCGCACCUCUAAUAAUAGCAAGUACGCCCGCAUUAGCUCACCACUUCUCCUAGCAUGCAUUGGCAUGCUUGCCUUAGACUCACACGACAGCCUAAACUCAGGUUACGAAGUAAUAAAUCAGCCAUUGAAGAGAACUAUGAUCGGAGAGCAAGCAGGGAACCUCUCGUCAGGUUGGUUGGGUUGGCUUGCUUGUUAAGAGGGAAUUCCCAGAUAGGUAGUUUACUUGCUCGUAGAGGUGCGUAGCUUGUUUCGUUGUGAGAUGGGCAACCUAUCUCACUUAGGAUUCCCUGGUCUUUGGACUACAGCAAUAUGGGAAUAGAAUUGAACUAUGGAUCGGAGAAUAACACUGAUUGAAGCCAGUUCACAACCUGGGAUAGCUAACGCUACCUUGCCUGAAGACAUGGGAUUGCCGUAGAAGUCACAUGCCAAGCAAGAACUUGCUCGUUUCACUUCCCUAGUUGUAAAUCGAGUAGGGCGUACGAGUGAACCAGCGUAUGCGAGCUAGCGAUUCCCAAGUGGUCGUUAAUAGAUAGAGGUUGCUUUAGUUCUCCCGGGAAAGAUGCCAAUCUGCUUAGUGUUCAGUGUACCUUUCGAUAAGAGGACGAAUGCACGGGCUUAAGCAGAUCAGUUGGUGCUACGCUUGUCUUGUUAAAGCAAGGGGUAAAUAGGAUAACACCAGCAUAGGAGGCAAAGUGGAACUCUUGCCUAGCCAUGGGAAUCCGCCCUAUCUCAUUAGCGAAGCCUGCUAUAUGGCUAUUUAGCUUUAGACACAAGGUGAGAGAACUCUCGUUCAAUGGCUUUUUAGGCCGUUUUAAUAACGUGUUACAGUUGUUUUCACAGUAGCAGCUACGCUCCAAUGUGUGGAUAAUCGGGUGUUAGAGCAAUCUCUGCCGCUACCGAUUUCGGCUCUCUUAGUUGCUUCUUCCCGAGUCUCAGUAGCUAAAGCGAGCCUGUUAUAUAAGCAGAUGUGUGUGGAUUCUGCUAGAGUAACAGUUGCUUCAAUGCCAGUUCAUCUGUUAAGACUAAUGCGUCGAUAAGUGAGAGCAGCUCAGAAGGGGUUGAGAAUGUGUAGU
rnacentral:lncRNA from 1 species